UUGCUUUGGCAGCAAACACACUAAAAUUCGAAUAAAUGAAAGAUUAGCAUAGCCCCCGUGCAAGGAUAACAUGCAAAUUCAUGAAGCAAUUUAAAUUUAA
ensembl:snRNA U6 U6 spliceosomal RNA